AUUGAACGCUGGCGGCAUGCUUUACACAUGCAAGUCGAACGGCAGCGGGGUAGUGCUUGCACUACUGCCGGCGAGUGGCGAACGGGUGAGUCAUAUAUCGGAACGUACCGAGUAAUGGGGGAUAACCAAUCGAAAGAUUGGCUAAUACCGCAUACGUCCUGAGGGAGAAAGCGGGGGAUCGCAAGACCUCGCGUCAUUCGCGCGGCCGAUGACUGAUUAGCUAGUUGGUGGGGUAAAGGCCUACCAAGUCCACGAUCAGUAGCGGGUCUGAGAGGACGAUCCGCCACACUGGGACUGAGACACGGCCCAGACUCCUACGGGAGGCAGCAGUGGGGAAUUUUGGACAAUGGGGGCAACCCUGAUCCAGCCAUGCCGCGUGUAUGAAGAAGGCCUUCGGGUUGUAAAGUACUGUUGUUAGGGAAGAAAAGGGAAGUGCUAAUACCACUUUGUGCUGACGGUACCUAAAGAAUAAGCACCGGCUAACUACGUG
rnacentral:rRNA from 1 species